rnacentral:piRNA from 1 species
UCAGCAGGCAACACAGAACUAUC